rnacentral:rRNA from 1 species
GCAAGUCGAACGAGAACGGAUUAAAGCUUGCUUUAAUUGUCAGCUAAGUGGCGCACGGGUGAGUAAUAUAUAGGUAACGUGCCCUAGAGAGGGGGAUAACAAUUGGAAACGAUUGCUAAUACCCCAUAUGCCUUUAAGUCUUAAGACUGCAAGGGAAACAUUUAUGGCUCUAGGAUGAGACUGUACGGUAUCAGUUAGUUGGUGAGGUAAUGGCUCACCAAGACAAUGACGCUUAACUGGUUUGAGAGGAUGAUC